ACCAAAAUCAUAAUUCUCUUUGCCUCUUUAAUCACAUCUAUUGCAUGCACAUACACGGCAACAAUUGCGUUGAUAGAAAAUAAACAUUUGGAGCGUGAUUCUUGGAUCUUGUUUUCAAAAUUCGUAGAUUAACGAGGUCAGAUUGGUCAACGUGGAUGGUGGCUGAGUGGUGCGCAGGUUGCCAAGUAAAAGAAAUUUUUAGGAAUCCAUAAUAAAUUUGUUAGGGCAUUUUAUGUUUCUCUUCAAUUCCAUUCAUGACGCUAUGUUUAUUUGAUUCAGUAUUUGAGUUUCAAUAAAUUAAGGUAUUAAAUUUUAAAUUUUA